rnacentral:rRNA from 1 species
AGAGUUUGAUUAUGGCUCAGGAUGAACGCUGGCGGCGUGCCUAACACAUGCAAGUCGAACGGAGUUAUAAGCGGAAGUUUCGGAUGGAAGCUAAUAAACUUAGUGGCGGACGGGUGAGUAACGCGUGGGUAACCUGCCUUGUACUGGGGGAUAACACUUAGAAAUAGGUGCUAAUACCGCAUAAUCAUAUUUUUUCGCAUGAGGAAGUAUGGAAAACUCCGGUGGUACAAGAUGGACCCGUGUCUGAUUAGUUAGUUGGUGGGGUAAUGGCCUACCAAGACGACGAUCAGUAGCCGGCCUGAGAGGGUGACCGGCCACAUUGGGACUGAGACACGGCCCAAACUCCUACGGGAGGCAGCAGUGGGGAAUAUUGCACAAUGGGGGAAACCCUGAUGCAGCGACGCCGCCGUGAGUGAAGAAGUAUUUCGGUAUGUAAAGCUCUAUCAGCAGGGAAGAAAGAGAACGUAAGUUCUCGUGACGGUACCUGACUAAGAAGCCCCGGCUAACUACGUGCCAGCAGCUGC